GGAGGAGCCGCCGGAAGCUGCUACAUGGGAAUCUGGUACCACAACAUCGCCGUUCAGACGCUGGUUUGGGUGGCCAACCGCGACACGCCGGUCUCCGAUCCAUCCUCGUCACGGCUCGCCAUCACGCCCGACGGCAACCUCGCUCUAUUUGACGGCACCGGCUCAAUCGCUUGGUCCACGAAAGUUAACACCAGCUGCUGGACUGGGCCAAAACCGAAGGUCUUGCUUGUGCACGUGCGGCCUCCCGCAAAUCCGAUUGGCGACGAGGCGGCCGUCUACGAGGAGGAGGGAUCUGCGUUUCAUGGAUUGUACGGCAGCGGGCAGGCAGCCGGGUCCGCUCCGGAGGGCGACGAGGCGACCGUCUAUGAGGAGGAGAUCUUCGAGCGGAGGGUCUAACCAGCUUGGCGACGUUGGGGAGGAGGAUGUCUACAAGCAGAGCUUCCCGUUCCAAGCGGCGGCGGCGCGGCACAGGUCUCUCACCUCCCAUCGCGACAUCAACCGUCGAGACAUGGCCUGGUACAACACGGUAUGCUAGCCACUUCGCCGGAAUUCCAUCGGCGCAUACUGCACCCAGUACGGGUUUACAAUCAUACAUGUCCUUUAUUCUUUCCUCUUCCAAAUUUCUUGACCUUGCGUCACUGGUGUUUCUUAUUAAGAUUUUUUUUGAUGUAGAUCAAAGUGAUUCCUUUCCGAUAGAUGAGCUGAGUUUCAGGUUUCAUUGCAAGAAUAGGCUGACAAGACCUGCUCCGUUAUGCACUUAUUCCAGUGUUGAUUGAACAAACAAACGUGGUAAGGUAUACUUUAUUUUGGGGGAAGAAAAGGAGAAUGACAUUUUAUCAUGUAGCAAGACGAAGACACUUGAGCAUGAUUCCCUGCUCAAAAUCAUGCCUGGCAUCAUCCACUGCGAGUUGUUUGUGGCAGCCUCGGCGCGCUGAAGUUGGCCACGGGCAAUGGCGACGAUGUCCUUCCCCAAUGCGGAUGUCUGGCACCGUCGACCGUCGUCGCGGGUUGUUUGUGGCGGCCUUGGUGCCGCACCACGGCCAUGCCCGCAUUACAGAUCAUGUCUACAAACCCGGUGUGUACUUCUAAUGAAAAUUAUUCUUUGGGCGGUCAUUAAGAUCCAUUCCAAUUUAUUGAAGCUUUGAGAAAAUGCGUGAAACAUGCAAAGUCAACAAAGAAGAUGUUCAAAGGAUCCACGACAAAGUGAACCAAAUCCACAAUGAAGACUUCACUAAAAGCACAAAUUAUGUUUGCAACAUGAGGGAUUGUCUCACAGAUUACCAUACUACCUUUAAGUCACCUAAGAAAAUUCCACGUGUCUGCAACACCUUGUUUAAGAUUGAGGUACUGAAAGGUGCUAGCUUGUCAAGCAAUUACUGCUCUACCUGAAGGCUGCAAGCCCCAUGUGAAGAAUAUUUUUGAGCAAAAUUUCCUUGCCAAGCUACAUGAAACAGAUUUCCGAAACACACUGCAAUGUGUAAAAGUGGUGAAGGUAUUGAUUGGGCUAUGGCUGAAGCCCUUGAUUUUGCAUCACCCAUAGACGAAGGCAACCAUGUUAGGCUAAGUGGACAAGAUGUGCAAAGGGGAUCUUUUAGUCAACGACAUUUGCUUCUACAUGACCAAGAAACUGGGCCGAAGUACUGUCCAUUCGAUCAUGUUAUGGUGAAUCAAAAUGACGAGCUGUUCACUAUUAGCGCAAGAGGCAAGUAUGCUAAUGAAACUAUUACUUAUAAGUUAUAUCAUCAUACUGACUGUUGUGAUAUUAUCUAGACUUGUUAAAAUUGGAGGUUUCUAAGAUCAUUCAUGUUUCCCUGGUCUUUAGAGAAUAAUGGAGAAAUUAUAUUUGGU